UGGGGAAUAUUGCACAAUGGGCGAAAGCCUGAUGCAGCAACGCCGCGUGAGCGAUGAAGGCCUUCGGGUCGUAAAGCUCUGUCCUCAAGGAAGAUAAUGACGGUACUUGAGGAGGAAGCCCCGGCUAACUACGUGCCAGCAGCCGCGGUAAUACGUAGGGGGCAAGCGUUAUCCGGAAUUAUUGGGCGUAAAGAGUACGUAGGUGGUUUCCUAAGCGAGGGGUUUAAGGCAAUGGCUUAACCAUUGUUCGCCCCCCGAACUGGGUUACUUGAGGGCUGGAGGGGAAAGCGGAAUUCCUAGUGUAGCGGUGAAAUGCGUAGAUAUGAGGGGGAAAAACAGUGGCGAUGGCGGCUUUCUGGACAGUAACUGACUCUGAGGUACGAAAGUGUGGGGAGCAAACAGG
rnacentral:rRNA from 1 species